rnacentral:tmRNA from 1 species
GGGGGCGACUGGUUUCGACACGAUAGCUCUGAGAGAGGAAGCAAGCCGAGGUCUCCUCGCCUCGUUAAACAGGGGUACCGUCAAAUUGAAUUGACAACAACUCUUCUUUUGAGCCUAUGGCUCUCGCUGCUUAAUUUAUAGCGGCGCGUCAACCCGGUGAUUUCCCCGACACCGGUGCGACGUCAUGUUAGGGGAAUGCUCCUGCGCACGUAAUGGCGCAGGCUAAGAUCGAACCGGUUGGGAUGCUGCGAGCGUGUCGCUGCGCGCAAAGCGUCCGAGACUAAACCAGCGACUGAGCUUGGAGAUGCCAAUCAGGGGGCUUUCGUGGACCGGAGUUCGAUUCUCCGCGCCUCCACCA